ACUCCUACGGGAGGCAGCAGUGGGGAAUUUUGCGCAAUGGGCGAAAGCCUGACGCAGCAACGCCGCGUGAGUGAUGAAGGCUUUCGGGUCGUAAAGCUCUGUCGAGGGGAAAGAAGUGUAUUGUGGUUAAUACCCGCGAUACUUGACGGUACCCCUAAAGGAAGCACCGGCUAACUCCGUGCCAGCAGCCGCGGUAAUACGGGGGGUGCAAGCGUUGUUCGGAAUUAUUGGGCGUAAAGAGCGUGUAGGCGGUUUGUUAAGUCUGAUGUGAAAGCCCUGGGCUCAACCCAGGAAGUGCAUUGGAAACUGUCAGACUUGAAUACGGGAGAGGGCAGUGGAAUUCCUAGUGUAGGAGUGAAAUCCGUAGAUAUUAGGAGGAACACCGGUGGCGAAGGCGGCUGCCUGGACCGAUAUUGACGCUGAGACGCGAAAGCGUGGGUASCAAMCAGGAUUAGAUACCCUGGUAGUCCACGCCGUAAACGAUGAGAACUAGGUGUUGCGGGUAUUGACCCCUGCAGUGCCGCAGCUAACGCAUUAAGUUCUCCGCCUGGGAAGUACGGUCGCAAGACUAAAACUCAAAUGAAUUGACGG
rnacentral:rRNA from 1 species